UGGGGAAUCUUGCGCAAUGGGCGAAAGCCUGACGCAGCGACGCCGCGUGAGUGAUGAAGGCCCUCGGGUUGUAAAGCUCUGUGGGGAGGAAAGAAUAAGGUCCGGCUAAUACCCGGACCGAUGACGGUACCUCCUUAGCAAGCACCGGCUAACUCUGUGCCAGCAGCCGCGGUAAGACAGAGGGUGCAAACGUUGUUCGGAAUCACUGGGCGUAAAGCGCGUGUAGGCGGCAGGGUGUGUCGGAUGUGAAAUCCCAUGGCUCAACCAUGGAAGUGCACCCGAAACUACCCAGCUCGAGUCUCGGAGAGGAAGGUGGAAUGCUUGGUGUAGAGGUGAAAUUCGUAGAUAUCAAGCGGAACACCGGUGGCGAAGGCGGCCUUCUGGACGAUGACUGACGCUGAGACGCGAAAGCGUGGGGAGCAAACAGG
rnacentral:rRNA from 1 species